GCGCGAGUGGGGGGGAUCGUCGAAUCGAACCGAGCGAGAGACGAAGCGAGGGUCGAAGCGAGACGAACGCGGCCCGACAGAGACCGCGACGUGACGAACGCCCGGCAGCAGCGAGGUGCGGGCAGUCUGCGCACGGACAUCGAUCGAAGCUCACGUUCACAUCCACCACCCGAAAUUCCCGGUGUUUUCCUUUCGAUUCGCCUCGACACGUUCGCGAGCGAGCGAGCGAGGUUACCGUGUUCGGUACCGCGCGAUUCGUCGCACGCCGACCCACCGUGCCAGCAAGUCGUGCCUCGGUGCAGUGACACUUGUGCCUUUUGGAGAGAAAAAAGACUGAAAUACCACCAAGUGUCCCGGGACACCGGCUCCAACGACCCUGCCAACUACGCCUUUACACCCCGCAGCUAAUCGUCGCACGUAACACACAUUCACAUCGAGCAUGGUUCGCGGCUAACCUCACUCUUCACGCCUAUCCGUCACCGUCGUUCCUGCCUUGGAAGUGCAGCAGUUUUUCUCUCGAGCGUCGAUCCGAUUCCACUUCGUACAGAGAUGUGUUAAUGUUGUAGCCUGCUUGCGACUAUAAGAGAUGAUAAGAUAGACUGUCGAUACAACUAUAUCGGAGCAUCGAUCAAUAAUGCUGUAGACCUUUGGCCGCCAGUUUUCGUGUUGAAAUAGCAGCAAAAUUGUGGAAAGAUG